AUGUUAACGACGUCCAUUCAAUCUGACUGUAGCCUACAUGGGUUUAAUUUGACUCAAUGGAGGAUGAGUUCCUCUGGGGAUACACACGUUGAUCAUCAUCUUGCUGUUCCUGCUCCUUUCCUGUCGUCUUAUAGCAAACUCUUGUGCACCCUCUGGUGCUUGCUAGUCUCCAAAACUUAUUUGUGUUGCCUGCUUUGCAGAUUGUCUUCCUUGUCUCUGUGGUUGCUCAUUAUUCAGAGACAGGCGGAUCUCAGGUCAUCUGCAGCUGCAGCAACGGAGAAGCAGGAAAGAUGGCGAUCAUCCAUUAGACCGGACGCACGCAUGAAAUACAGGACAACUUUCAGGAAGAAGAUCGCUUCUCCACCAGAAGAAGACAUACCUGUUCGACAGAGUUAAACUAUGACUGAAGGAAUGGCAUUCCUUGUCACUCAGUCAGAAAAAAACAAGGUGUGCUCCUCCAUGUGCGCCUGCCUGCCUUGUGUGCCUGCCUGCUUGCGUGUUCAUGCUCUCCUACAGACUCACUCACACUGGCCACGGUGAAAUCUUGCUGACAAGGAGACAGAGCUAGACACACUCUGCGACAACUGUGGGCUAGGAGGCAAUCAAAAUGGUGGCGCUAGUCUCGGUCUCUCAUGUCAUGUCAAGGGAACCAGUUUCUCAAGGUGGAGCUAGCUGGAUGUUUGGACUGAAAAUAUGAAGGCUAGUGGUUGAGAAAUGUGUUUGUCAGAUAGCUUCAGAGCAGGUUCUUGUGUUUGCUGGGAAAUUAUGUUCUUGCUAGACUUCACACUGUAGUUCCUGUGUAAUCUUUUACAGACACAUCUUGUGCAAUGCAUAAUCGCUUCCUCUCUGAAGGAUACUGUUACAGCCCAGGUUACCUGCGUUAUAAUAUACUAUGAUCACAAUUCAUCACUGUGGUAAACACUGUGCUUGUCAUUUCAGUCCACUAGCAACAUGUUUCCUUAGUAUUACUCGCACUAGAUUAUUCUUGGAUUUCCACAAUAACUAAAAUAUAAUAGAUGAAAAAAACACCUGUAUUUUCCACGUUUCUUUAAAUAACAUCUUCCUGGUCUAUAAAGACUAGAUGAUAAAACAUCUAUUUGAAGUGAACUUCAUGUCUAUUUUUGGCUCCCAAAUCUCACUUUAUUACACAAUACUACUACUAGCCCAACUGGUGGUUUGUUCAAGACCUCCACAGGUUGUGUGAUUAGUUUACAACUAUAGAGGUCAGAGGGCAUGGCAUUAUUGAAGGAUUUUUAUUUUAUUUUUUUACUUCAGUGUUAAUCCUGAUAUAUAUUUUGUUCGUCGUUAUACUCUUUACUAAUAGUGCAAUGUUUAGUUCAAAUAUUUGUGAACUGCUGUAGCAAGGAUCAGGAUUAAGCCACAGAAAGCACUACAAAGUCUCUCCAAAUUAAACAAGGUGACUUUUAAGUUCCUAUACAAGUAUUGAUAUUAGGUAGAUGUUUUAUCCCUAUUUAGUUGUAAGCGGAGACAUUUAUUUAGUUAGAGAGUUCGGCCAACUUUUAGAACAGCCGCCAUGUUCGCACCUUUAAGCAUUCCAUUCAUUCAUUAUCAGUGUUUCUACGACGGGUUGGUCAAAACCCAUACACUGUACAUAUAUUCUAUUGUGUUAUUGACUGUACGUUUGUUUAUGUGUAACUCUGUGUUGUUUUUGUCGCACUGCUUUGCUUUAUCUUGGCCAGGGCGCAGUUGUAAAUAAGAACCUUUUCUCAAGAGGCCUACCUGGUUAAAUAAAGAUGAAAAAAACAAAAAAAAACAAGUGUUGAUAGGUUGAGACUCGUUUGUUUGACCUGACAAAGAUCCGUUUCGGAUCAAAACGUUGUCAGUGAAUUGGGAGCUUAAAGAGUGUGCGGGCCUUCUUGUUCUUUAUUGAGACGUGUUCAAAGCCAUACUAAAUAUCCCGUUUAGCACGAGUAAGCCUAUGACGCCAUAAUGGGAAUGUUGUUUUCUGUUCCGUUUGAGAAAUCUCUGCGCAUCCAGGGGGUUUGUACAAACCUUGUUGUCUGCCUCUCGACAUUUGCAACAGUUUCAAUAUUGAAAUUCGAUCUCCAGUGUCCUAUUGAGAAUUAACGUGUCAGGACAUCUUUUCUCAGCCAGUAGAAAUCAUGAAUAAGCAAGAAAUGUCAAUACAAAAAGAGGUCAAAUGAAAUGAAAUUCAGCUACUUUGCUGUUAUUCUAGCUGCACUGUUUGACCUGACCGUGUUAGCCGUAGUUGGCUAGCUAGCAAGCAAGGGAUAAGUGCGUUGCCAGACAGCAUGGCAACAGAACAUUUAGAACAAACGACUGGGUCACGUCCAUAGAUAUAGAACUAAAGGACUUCGCGACUAGGUAGCGUCUCUGGCAACCAAACUGAUAGAAUGAACUGCCAGCCGGUUUAGCUAGCAACCAUACAUGUG
ensembl:lncRNA